GCUUAACCAACUAAGCCACCCAGGCGCCCCGCUCUUUCUUCCUUUCUUGCUGUUUUGCAAUAGUCCAGAACGUUCUGAACAUGGUUAGAGAUUCCCAGACCAUCCCACCUGGAAGUCCUCCAGCCUUCCCUGCCACCCCAAGGUGGGCCCAAAAGCACCUUUCUUCUAGACUGCUGCCUGCUUGCUUUCAGACCAUGCCUGAGUCCUGGAGGUCCCACACAGGAGUCCCUGUUGACCAAAAAAUCAGUUAGUUCUUGUCACCAGGGCUCUCCUGGAGUAGUGGUAGGAGGGGGGCCAGCCAGAGUGGGGACCUGGGAGUCCACACACUGGGCUUCCCCUGGCCACAAGGAGAGGACUGGGGCCUGGAGGCCACCUGGAACCCAAUGUGCCUUCAAAGGCUGCCUUCCUGGGCCAGAGGCUCAGCACAUGUGGGCCCAGGUUUCCUGUCACAGAGGGGCUGCCUCCCUGCUCCACAAGACUGGGAUUCCACUGUGGCCAGAUGGGGCCCUACAGAUGUGCUGGGGAGGUUAUCAGGUACCCUCAGCCCAGACCCGCCCACAUUCAGGAAAGGAAGAAGGGUGUGACUUCGGCGUAUUCAGAGGUUGCAGUGGCUCCCCAGAAAAGCCAGAACGGGGGCCAGGCCUCUGGCAGUGUGCCCGCCCUACCCCUGGGACCCAGGGGCUACAGAUCAAGGAGCAGAGAGCACAGCCCAGCCUGAAAGGAGAAUACACCCACACCCUCUCGAUGUUCCACCUGGCCCCAAGAUCCCAUCUGGUGGGAAGGAACCAAGCAGGAGGCAGGAGGGCAGCCCCCUCUACAGCCAGCUGACUUUCGUUUUCCAGGGAAGUGUUGAAAUCUGCAGUGGGUGAAAGAAUAUAUUUUGAAUUCACUUAAAAAAAUAUCAUAAAGGAAAAAGUCAGCGUCUUUAAAAUCCAGGCUUCCUAAAAAAAGGAUCAUGUGCUUUGGUGUAUUGUGAGUGAUAUAAUUCUGAUUUCCUUGGGGAAAGAUGACCAAGAGAAGGCAUGAGAAAGGCUUCAAGAAAACCUGUUCCUGCCCAGCAGUGAGGUUGGCCUGAACUUCCAGAGGCCUGGCUGCAGGUACACUAGAUAUGGGAGGGACACAUCUGGAUCCUGUACCCUGGGAGCCACAGGUGACCUUUCCUGGGGAUUCUGCAGAUGGCCACAUCUGUGGUCAUGCAUUCAUCCAUUCACUAAAGAUUUAUUGAGCACCUACUAUAUGACGUGGACUGUGCUGUGCUCUGGAAAGGCAACGAGGAGCCACAACCACAGCACACACCCUCUCGGAAUUUUGUCAGGGGUGGGCAGGGACCAGCCCGGGGUGGAGGAAGUUCAGGGGGGGCUUCCCUGAGGAGGUGAAGCUUGGACUGGACCUUGAUGUCUGGAUGACAGUUCAUUCAGUAGGAGGAGGUUCAGGCAGUGGGAACAGCAUAUGCAAAGGCCAUGAGGUGAGUGCUCUGCUCCCCUGAGGGACUGAGGAAAGUCAGAGAAGGCAGUGGGCUAGAAAGGUAUGGGUGAGGCUGGGGGGUGGGCAGGGCCUGGUGGCUGUGGUAAUAACUUUGGCCUCACCAAACGUCCGCAUGAAUCCAGGGGAGUGUUUUAAACAAGAGGGUGGCACCAGGCUGUAUUGUACAAGUCCCCUGGAGGGACUGCAAUGGCAGUAAAGCCAUUUGGUGGGUGGAUCCAUUUCCUCCCUCCUGACUUUCCUCCCUCUCUGUUAAGACUUCCAGCCACACCUGCUUUUCUCUAAACCAGACCUAUGCAGUCUUGCUUGCAUAUCACCUCAUGCAGUCCUCUCCAUGUGGCAUUUGAAGCAUCUCUCUCCUGCAUUUUUGCCAGUUAAACUGGCAUUCCCCGCCCCCCUCCUCCACCCCAGACCUGUAGAAAUACCGACCUCCUCACCCAAUCACUCCCUGGCUGGCCCUUGACCAAGUGGAUAUGCAUCUUCCCACUGUGAAAACCAUUUGUUUUCAAGUUUGUUGAGCCAUGUGGCUGCAUGAGUUCUGGGCAAGCCACUGCGUGUAUGGUGUGCUGGCCAAUCGUGUGGACCUAGGACAGCUGCCUGGAGCCCAACUUGCCUUUGCUCCCUCCCACCUGUGUGACCUCCCGUCAAAUACCUCAUCUCUCAGGCCUCAGUUUCCCCAUCUACAGGAUAGACACAAUGAUCUCUGUGAGGAUGGUUGGGAGAAUUCACAGAGCCAGCCUGUAGGAGGACGUGCUCAGAACUGGGUGCAGCCCACAGAAGAGCUCCAGAAACGUCUGAUUAUUACCACUGGGCAAAUGGCACGUGCCUGGGCACCAAAACAUUUUUGGCAAGAACGUGAUGUUUCAAAAUAGGCGUUGUAUGUUGCCAGCAUGAGAAAAGUCAGGACUCCAUUGGACUUCGUGAUCCUUGUUUGAUGGUUAAGGUUAUUUUUAUUUACAGUGAUAUCUCAGUGCUUAGAGCCUGUAGGGUUCUAGGCCCUCUGUGUUCAUCUCGCCCAUCCCCUCAUCUCUCAGGAGGACCCUGGGCUCAGAGGGGAUGAGGGGGGUGGUUGUUCUAGGCCAGCCAGAGAGAAGAUAGCAGGGCAGCGCUCUUAUCUCCUGGUCAUCCCAUCUCAGAGUAGAUGCUUGUCCCCCGCCCCCCGCCCCACUGCCGAAGACAGUGAGCCUCCUGAACAGAAGUGAGUUCCUUCUAUCCCUAUCUCUAUGCUGCAUUUCUCUGAAGGUUCAGGCCUCUGGAAGGGGGCUUAGUUACCCAAUUUGGGGGAGCCACUGGACACACAGAGGCUUCCCACACUGUGGACACACCAGGACCCAGAAGAAUUCUGUGGCACAUCUCAAGCCAAAGGAUCCUCCAGCCCAGGGUGACCUCGCUGGUCUCAUGGGGAGGGCCCUGGUAGAUACUUGCUCACC